rnacentral:tRNA from 4 species
GGUGGGGUGGCCGAGUGGCUUAGGCAAGGGCCUGCAAAGCCCUGUACGCGGGUUCGAUUCCCGCUCCCACCUC